GGGGUUGUAGCUUAGUGGUAGAGCACUUGCCUAGCAUGUGUGAGGCACUGAGUUCAAUCCUCAGCACCACA
rnacentral:tRNA from 1 species